GAAAACUUUAAUAACGGAAUUCAUAACUAAUUGUGUAAUGGUUUAACACAGAGCGGAGCAUAUCCAUUUAGCAGAGGAAGGAAGCAAGUGCCCACAGACUUCCAUGGAGAUAGCUAGAGUUUGGUGGGAGCUUGUCCUAUUUCCCUCAUACAAUGCAUUGUGAUUCCUACAAUGCACUGUGGAAAGCUGUGUUCUGGACAGAAAUUUUUUUCAGAGGGUCUGCAGUGAAGCGUCCUCCGUUCGUCGCCGAGGCGACUUUUCUGACCCUGGCGCUAGUUUGUCAGAGGGACUUUGAACGCGCCAUUCAGUUCUGUAGCGCAGUGCUGUCAGCGUCAAGCAGGCAGCAACGUCUGUCUCAACACGCCUGGGAAGACAAUGGUCGGAAACUGAAGGAAAAUGCGUAAGGUGGCAAUUAAUCUGAGAACUAUGGUGCAAUGUGAACAGAAAAUCUAAUGUUAUUUAUAAUGCUGUAGCCGAUAU